rnacentral:rRNA from 1 species
GACGAACGCUGGCGGCGUGCUUAACACAUGCAAGUCGAACGGUAAGGCCCUUCGGGGUACACGAGUGGCGAACGGGUGAGUAACACGUGGUGAUCUGCCCUGCACUUCGGGAUAAGCCUGGGAAACUGGGUCUAAUACCGGAUAGGACCAUGGACUUCACGGUUUGUGGUGGAAAGCUUUUGCGGUGUGGGAUGGGCCCGCGGCCUAUCAGCUUGUUGGUGGGGUAAUGGCCUACCAAGGCGACGACGGGUAGCCGGCCUGAGAGGGUGUCCGGCCACACUGGGACUGAGAUACGGCCCAGACUCCUACGGGAGGCAGCAGUGGGGAAUAUUGCACAAUGGGCGCAAGCCUGAUGCAGCGACGCCGCGUGAGGGAUGACGGCCUUC